rnacentral:rRNA from 1 species
GAUGAACGCUGGCGGCGUGCCUAAUACAUGCAAGUCGAGCGAACAGACGAGGAGCUUGCUCCUCUGACGUUAGCGGCGGACGGGUGAGUAACACGUGGAUAACCUACCUAUAAGACUGGGAUAACUUCGGGAAACCGGAGCUAAUACCGGAUAAUAUAUUGAACCGCAUGGUUCAAUAGUGAAAGACGGUUUUGCUGUCACUUAUAGAUGGAUCCGCGCCGCAUUAGCUAGUUGGUAAGGUAACGGCUUACCAAGGCGACGAUGCGUAGCCGACCUGAGAGGGUGAUCGGCCGCACUGGAACUGAGACACGGUCUAGACUCCUACGGGAGGCAGCAGUAGGGAAUCUUCCGCAAUGGGCGAAAGCCUGACGGAGCAACGCCGCGUGAGUGAUGAAGGUCUUCGGAUCGUAAAACUCUGUUAUUAGGGAAGAACAAAUGUGUAAGUAACUAUGCACGUCUUGACGGUACCUAAUCAGAAAGCCACGGCUAACUACGUG